UCAACAGUUGGGCCCUGCAGUCAGAUCACAUAGUUUUAAGCUGCAACCUCAUUGCUUUUGGAAGAACUUGGAUUCCUGAGAUGCCUACAAGGACUUAUCUAGCCAUGUGUUGCAGACACACUGAUGUGCUGCCCAGACUCACCUUCAAAGCAGAACUUGUUUCCAGUUGUGGAGUUAUGGGCAUGGUGGGGGUACCCAGCUGCCAGCACCUUCAGGCUUUGCCUCAGCUGCAGAUGGCAGACUUGCUGGAACUCCAGUCCCUCUCAAAGUGAAAAAAGAGAAUACAAGUCUGGCAAUUUCUGCUUUAUGCAUGACAACGGGUGGUCCCCAUCAUGAUGAUCAAGAUUUGUCAUGCCUGUA